rnacentral:rRNA from 1 species
UUAAGAUCCUUAAAAUCAAAGAAUUUGGCGGUAAUUAAAUCUUUUUAGAGGAACCUGUUCUGUAAUUGAUAAUCCACGAUUGAUUUUACUUUAUUUUUAUUUGUAUAUCUCUGUCAAUGAAUGUAUUAUAAGAUAAUUUUCAUUAUUUUUUGUAAAUUGAUGUUAGGUCAAGGUGCAGUUUUAAUAAAGAAGAAAUGGGUUACAAUAAUUUUUUUUGGAUAUUUAUUUUGAAAUAAUUUAUUAAAAUGGGAUUUAAUAGUAAUUUUUGUUAGAAAAACAAAACUGAUUAUAGCUCUUAAUUAU